ACCCGCUGAACUUAAGCAUAUUACUAAAGGCAGGACAAGAAAAUAACAAUGAUUCCCCCAGUAACUGCGAGUGAAGUGGGAAAAGCCCAACGUUGAAAGCUGUGACUCUAACGGGUCAUCGCAUUGUAACGUAUAGAUUUGUUCUCAAGGCAGUUGCCUACAUCAAAGUUACAUAGAAUAGUACACCAGAGAGGGUGGUAGUCCCGUGAGUGAUGUAGGUUACAAAACUGUCGAGUAGACAAACUCUAAGAGUCGAGUUGUUUGGGAUUGCAGCUCAAAUUGGGUGGUAAACUCCAUCUAAGGCUAAAUACAGACACGAGACCGAUAGCGAACAAGUACCGUGAGGGAAAGUUGAAAAGUACUCUGAAAAGAGAGUGAAAAGUACGUGAAACCGUUAAUGGGGAAGCAGACAGUGGAAUCGAAGCUGUGUCCUCAUUGUGUGUUACGGUGUGGCAACACUGUUGUUGUUGUCACUUGUGGUGCAUGUAUUGUGGUGCAUAGCGCGCUGGGCCCAUCGUUCAAACAUAGCAUCUCUUGUAAAAGGAUGUGGGUCGACUUGUGAUGCAGCCAUAUGAUAGUGUUGUGUGGAUUUGCGUUCAUUUGAUCGUUGUGUGGUGCAUGGCAUAAGUUGUAAGAUCAAUAGGAGCGAUGUGGUGGACAUUUGUGCGGUGCCAGUAAUGGGCAAUGUAUUGGUGUGCGAUAGGAACAACAGCAGUCUUCUGAUUGUUGGAUCAUGUGUGUUGUUGCAUUGAUUUGCAUGCACAUCUGCAAGGGUGUGUGUGUGAAGGUGUGACUACGCAUGGUUGUGAGUGUUGUGUGCGAGUGCAUUGUCGAUUGCACACGUGUCGGUAGUGUGCAUAUCCCAGCGAGAUAUGGUACUGUCUGACCCGUCUUGAAACACGGACCAAGGAGGCUAACGUAUGCGCAAGUCGAGGAGUGGAGAAACUCUAAGGCGAAACGAAAGUGAAAAGUGAGAUCCCCUUGUAGUGUGUUGUUAAAUAGAGAGGGGCGCAUCACUGGCCAGUCAUUGCCGGUGACAACGAUACUUGUGAUUGAGCUGGAGCGUAUGCGAUAGGACCCGAAAGAUGGUGAACUAUGCCUGAGUAGGGCAAAGCCAGACGAAAGUCUGGUGGAGGCUCGAAGCGGUUCUGACGUGCAAAUCGAUCGUCAAACUUGGGUAUAGGGGCGAAAGACUAAUCGAACCAUCUAGUAGCUGGUUCCCUCCGAAAUAUCCCUCAGAAUCGCCGGAGCCCGAGCCAUUAACAGUUUCAUCAGGUAGAGCGAAUGAUUAGAGGAAUUGGAGUCAUAACAGACUUUGGCCUAUUCUCAAACUGCCAACUGGUGAGAUUGUGAACACGUUGCUUGGUUGAACGAGUUUACAUCACGAAUGUUAGGGUUCCGAGUGGGCCAUUUUUGGUAAGCAGAACUGGCGAUGCGGGAUGAA
rnacentral:rRNA from 1 species